CGAACGCUGGCGGCAGGCCUAACACAUGCAAGUCGAACGAACUCUUCGGAGUUAGUGGCGGACGGGUGAGUAACACGUGGGAACGUGCCUUUUGGUUCGGAAUAACUCAGGGAAACUUGUGCUAAUACCGAAUGUGCCCUUCGGGGGAAAGAUUUAUCGCCAUUAGAGCGGCCCGCGUCUGAUUAGCUAGUUGGUGAGGUAACGGCUCACCAAGGCGACGAUCAGUAGCUGGUCUGAGAGGAUGACCAGCCACACUGGGACUGAGACACGGCCCAGACUCCUACGGGAGGCAGCAGUGGGGAAUCUUGCGCAAUGGGCGAAAGCUUGACGCAGCCAUGCCGCGUGAAUGAUGAAGGUCUUAGGAUUGUAAAAUUCUUUCACCGGGGACGAUAAUGACGGUACCCGGAGAAGAAGCCCCGGCUAACUUCGUG
rnacentral:rRNA from 1 species